GGAAGUUAAGAAACUGUUUCUUAACUUUUAACUAAAAAAGCUAAGAACCGGUUCUUAAAUAAGGACUUUAAGAACCGGUUCUUAAAUAAGGACUUUAAGAACCGGUUCUUAGUUUUUUUAGUUAAAAAUUAAGAAACAGUUUCUUAACUUCC
rfam:Brassica napus, WGS project CCCW01000000 data, contig: 4572